GUUAUAAAUGGUGAUGGUAAUUCUUUGUUGUAUAGGGUGAAUACAUAGAGAAUAGAAUGCAUAGAGAGGAAAUAACGUAUGUAAACUUGUUGGUGUAGCAUGCGAAUUCUGUGCAUAGCACACGUUGUGUAAUCCUUUGUUAAUGAGAUAAAUAAAGGUUGAGAGGUAUUCUUGUAUUCUCAGUGUGCUUGGUCUCGUUUGUCCA